rnacentral:rRNA from 1 species
AGAGUUUGAUCCUGGCUCAGGAUGAACGCUGGCGGCGUGCUUAACACAUGCAAGUCGAACGGGAAACCUUUUAUUGAAGCUUCGGCAGAUUUAGAUUGUUUCUAGUGGCGGACGGGUGAGUAACGCGUGGGUAACCUGCCUUAUACAGGGGGAUAACAGUCAGAAAUGACUGCUAAUACCGCAUAAGCGCACAGAGCUGCAUGGCUCGGUGUGAAAAACUCCGGUGGUAUAAGAUGGACCCGCGUUGGAUUAGCUAGUUGGUGAGGUAACGGCCCACCAAGGCGACGAUCCAUAGCCGGCCUGAGAGGGUGAACGGCCACAUUGGGACUGAGACACGGCCCAGACUCCUACGGGAGGCAGCAGUGGGGAAUAUUGCACAAUGGGGGAAACCCUGAUGCAGCAACGCCGCGUGAAGGAUGACGGUUUUCGGAUUGUAAACUUCUUUUCUUAGUGACGAAGACAGUGACGGUAGCUAAGGAAUAAGCAUCGGCUAACUACGUGCCAGCAGCCGCGGUAAUACGUAGGAUGCAAGCGUUAUCCGGAUUUACUGGGUGUAAAGGGAGCGCAGGCGGGACUGCAAGUUGGAUGUGAAAUACCGUGGCUUAACCACGGAGCUGCAUCCAAAACUGUAGUUCUUGAGUGAAGUAGAGGCAAGCGGAAUUCCGAGUGUAGCGGUGAAAUGCGUAGAUAUUCGGAGGAACACCAGUGGCGAAGGCGGCUUGCUGGGCUUUAACUGACGCUGAGGCUCGAAAGUGUGGGGAGCAAACAGGAUUAGAUACCCUGGUAGUCCACACUGUAAACGAUGAUAGCUAGGUGUGGGGGGUCUGACCCCUUCCGUGCCGGAGUUAACGCAAUAAGCUAUCCACCUGGGGAGUACGACCGCAAGGUUGAAACUCAAAGGAAUUGACGGGGGCC